AUUGAAAGCCGGCGGCAUGCUUUACACAUGCAAGUCGAACGGUAACAGGUUAAGCUGACGAGUGGCGAACGGGUGAGUAAUGCAUCGGAACGUGCCCGAUCGUGGGGGAUAACGCAGCGAAAGCUGCGCUAAUACCGCAUACGAUCUGAGGAUGAAAGCGGGGGACCGUAAGGCCUCGCGCGAUCGGAGCGGCCGAUGUCAGAUUAGGUGGUUGGUGGGGUAAAGGCCCACCAAGCCGACGAUCUGUAGCUGGUCUGAGAGGACGACCAGCCACACUGGGACUGAGACGCGGCCCAGACUCCUACGGGAGGCAGCAGUGGGGAAUUUUGGACAAUGGGCGAAAGCCUGAUCCAGCAAUGCCGCGUGCAGGAAGAAGGCCUUCGGGUUGUAAACUGCUUUUGUACGGAGCGAAAAGGUCCUUUCUAAUACAAGGGGCUUAUGACGGUACCGUAAGAAUAAGCACCGGCUAACUACGUGCCAGCAGCCGCCGUAACAC
rnacentral:rRNA from 1 species